rnacentral:lncRNA from 1 species
AAAAGGAAGACUUUGUUCUGGCUAGUAAGAUUUAAACCAUUGCCUGACUACAUUCUGGAAACAAGUUAGAUCUACCUGUGGAAGCUAAACUAGAAUCUUAAGACCACGGAAAGGCUACUUUUAAAGGUCUUUUAUUGUUUACUAAGCUACUAUUGCAACAGAGGAUGGCAAACCUCAUUUUAAGCAAAUGAACAUAGUGGAGACUUAGGCUCUGCAGUUUUCUCCUCUGCGGUCCAAAGUGCCUGCUUGGAGCCUUGAGUCUGCAGUCCUCGAUAAUGGAACCAGGAAGCACCAGGACUUACCGAUCCCUGAUGACUCAUCUCAGAUCUACAGGUAGACUUCUUAACAGCGCCAAGCCGGCUCCCCAACCUGGUCUGCUGAACGCAAACCGCUGAGAGUUUGCUGCACCGCCCCCUGGGGCCCCUGGCUGCCGAGUCCCGCUAAGGCAAAGACGCCAGCAAGCGAGGAAGCGCCGCGGAAGAAAAACAAGCGGGCGCGCGAGGGGAGCCCCAGGAGGGCUGCCGAGUGGCUGGCAGGCGGCUCCCGCCCCUCCCGGGUGGCCUCGCCGGCGGCUGACGGCCCGUAGGACGCGCGCUCCGAAAAGUUAGACUCCGGGCGGCGGCGCGCUACGCCGCGUCCCCUCGCGUCCCUUCCUCGCUGCGCUCCGGGAAAGGAACUUGUUCCUUCGGCCCCAGGAUUGG